AUGACAGUCCAACAUACGUCAGCGCUAACAGCUCACCACACAAAAAGAAAGAAAGAUCAAGCUUUAAACUCAAGGAGCACAAAGAGGACAAGGACUGCAGAGGGAAGAAGAAAUACAAACAUAGAGGCUCCUAAACAAUUGAGAAAGGAUAAUGCUAAAGAAGAUAAGAAAUUGAAGCGUACAAGAAGCGAAAGCAACAAAAUUAACAUUAGAAUCAAUGUUGGAGACAGCAACAGAACCACAACCUCAACAAGUGCUAAUAGAAAGACAUGGAAAUUCGGAAGGCCAACAUACAAAUGCUAA
rnacentral:rRNA from 1 species